rnacentral:rRNA from 1 species
UACGUAGGUGGCAAGCGUUAUCCGGAUUUACUGGGUGUAAAGGGCGUGUAGGCGGGACUGCAAGUCAGAUGUGAAAACCAUGGGCUCAACCCAUGGCCUGCAUUUGAAACUGUAGUUCUUGAGUGUUGGAGAGGCAGGCGGAAUUCCGUGUGUAGCGGUGAAAUGCGUAGAUAUACGGAGGAACACCAGUGGCGAAGGCGGCCUGCUGGACAAUAACUGACGCUGAGGCGCGAAAGCGUG